rnacentral:ncRNA from 2 species
CUUACUACACAACGCCGAAGCCACCGGCUCUAACCCUGCCUGCAGGUAUGAACGGUGUGCCGUGGUAAUAAUACCACCGGGUGUGGCGGGAAACGGCCUCACCUCCCAACCUGGAAAGGUGUCAUUAGUAUGCUUAU